CUUGCUGUAAUUGCGGCUGAAGCGGCGGUGAGAAACCAAUAAUGUAGCAGAGGAAAUGUACGGAGGAGAGGUGGAAUUCGCAUUUUUUCGGUUUCACGUACAGACGGUUUUCGAGAAGGCGCUGGAGAACUUGCCGUACGUGUUCCGUUCCAAGCUUGACAGUGAUCCAGGGCAGUCUCCUCAUCAAGCCAAGUCUGGAUCUACUCUGCAGCAGGGAGCAGCAACACUUGGCCGCAACACAAGCUCGAAAGCCCUCUUUUGAGCACCAAAAGCUCAAGCAGCCUGCCCAGGAACCUGGCUGCCACCCUGCAGAGCAUUGAGACCAAAAGGCAGCUCGGUCUGCAGCAAAAAGGUCAACAGGUGAUUGAAGAGCAGCGACGUCGUCUGGCUGAGCUAAAGCAGAGAGCAGCGGCAGAAGCUCAGUGCCAGUGGGAGGCGCUCCAUAGCUUGCAGCCUCAACUCAUCAACCCCACGCCCUCCUACUCCCUAGUCAUGUCCUACAGUCCCACACUGAGUCACAGGUCUACAGGCCACCAUCCUCUGGUCCAACACUCCAUCCUACACCACCAUCCAGCAUCAGCCGGAGAGCAGCCCUACGACACGUUGAGUCUGGAGAGCUCUGACAGUAUGGACACCAGUGUGUCCACGGGGAACAACUUCGCCUGCUCACCAGAUAAUUUAUCCAGGCAGUGGGGGCCGGAGGUUCUGAACAAUGGCGUAAAGACCGUCAGCCGCAUACAUCGCGAAGCGAGGAGGAGAGAGAGAAAAAAUAAUCUGGCUGUGGCUGCCAAGGCAGCACCUCGGCAGCCACAGCCUGGUUGACUGCUUCGCCCUCCUCCUUCUCCUCGAUUAACGGCCUGCUGAAUUUCCAUUUUGAAGCCUGAUUUCACCGACAUAAUUUCUUUGUCCAUCUUGUUAACAAGCCUUUUUUCUGUGAUGUGUCAAAAUGUAAGGCAUUUUUUUGGUCUGUUUGGUUUCACUUUAAAUAUACUGAUGAAUUUGAUUUUUUGAAUAGAGCUUUGCUAAUGUUAAAAAGAACAAAAGAGUGAUACAAUUUCUCUUCAUAAAGGGGAAUAAAGUUGAAUAUGUUUCAUAAGCAAAAAUGGUUUCCUACACUUUCUGUUCAUGUUUUGGUCUGGUAUGGUCAGUGGCAGUUCUAGCAUGAAUGGGGCCCUGUGUGAGACCCUCUUUGUCCCCCACCAAAACACACAUACCAAAACACAAAAACACACUGGAGUGAAUAAAGCAACAGCAAAGAAUAAUUGAAAUGAAGGAAAUGGAGAAUUAUAGCAACAUACAUUUUACAUUGCACAAAGGAAACAAAAACCUAAGGGAACGUUAUUGCAAAUAAAGAAUAAUUUUGAAUUUGUUUCCUAGUAUGUU